rnacentral:ncRNA from 1 species
CCCGUUCGGGUCCGUGGUUGCGCAGAGUCGGGGGUCCCGGCUCUGCUAGCCGAUGCCAGCCGCAGGCAAAACGGUCCACGUAAGGCGACUCUUUGUCGACCGAUCACGGUGCGGCUUAGGGGUAAGUCCUGCCUUCCCGGGGGUCCAGAUGUCCCCCGUCAGGAGAGAAGGGCAGUAGUGGCAACAGAGCUGCGAAACCCUCAGCAGGCGGAUGUGGGGUCGAAGACCAGGUCGGCCGGGCGGG